GACGAACGCUGGCGGCGUGCUUAACACAUGCAAGUCGAACGGGCCUGUCUUCUUUUUUGGGGGUGGGUUGAGUGGCGAACGGGUGAGUAUCACGUGAGUAACCUGCCCUUCGGUCCUGGAUAACCGCUUGAAAGGGCGGCUAAUACGGGGUGGUCCGGUUGGUCCGCAUGGGCUGGUCGGGAUAGAUUCACUGUUUUUGGUGUUUCGGCGGGGGAUGGGCUCGCGGCCUAUCAGCUUGUUGGGGGGGUGAUGGCCUACCAAGGCGGUGACGGGUAGCCGGCCUGGGAGGGUGGGCGGCCACACUGGGACUGGGAUGCGGGCCAGACUCCUGCGGGAGGCAGCAGCGGGGGGUAUUGCACAAUGGGCGGAAGCCUGAUGCAGCGACGUCGCGUGAGGGAUGGAGGCCUUCGGGUUGUGAACCUCUGUUUCCGGUGGUGAAGGCCCUGUCCGUGUGGUGGGGUUGACGGUAGCCGGGGAUGAAGCGCCGGCUAACUACGU
rnacentral:rRNA from 1 species